GAUGAACGCUAGCUACAGGCUUAACACAUGCAAGUCGAGGGGAAACGACAUUGAAGCUUGCUUCGAUGGUCGUCGACCGGCGCACGGGUGAGUAACGCGUAUCCAACCUGCCUCUGACCAAGGGAUAACCCGUCAAAAGUCGGCCUAAUACCUUAUGCAGUCGUCGGAAGUCAUCUGAUGACGACGAAAGAUUUCAUCGGUGAGAGAUGGGGAUGCGUCUGAUUAGCUUGUUGGCGGGGUAACGGCCCACCAAGGCAACGAUCAGUAGGGGUUCUGAGAGGAAGGUCCCCCACAUUGGAACUGAGACACGGUCCAAACUCCUACGGGAGGCAGCAGUGAGGAAUAUUGGUCAAUGGGCGAGAGCCUGAACCAGCCAAGUAGCGUGCAGGAUGACGGCCCUAUGGGUUGUAAACUGCUUUUAUGCGGGGAUAAAGUGAGGGACGUGUCCUUCAUUGCAGGUACCGCAUGAAUAAGGACCGGCUAAUUCCGUG
rnacentral:rRNA from 1 species